GAUGAAGAACGCAGCAAAAUGCGAUAAGUAAUGUGAAUUGCAGAAUUCAGUGAAUCAUCGAAUCUUUGAACGCACAUUGCGCCCGCUGGUAUUCCGGCGGGCAUGCCUGUUCGAGCGUCAUUUCAACCCUCAAGCCCCCGGGUUUGGUGUUGGGGAUCGGCUCUGCCCUUCUGGGCGGUGCCGCCCCCGAAAUACAUUGGCGGUCUCGCUGCAGCCUCCAUUGCGUAGUAGCUAACACCUCGCAGCUGGAACGCGGCGCGGCCAUGCCGUAAAACCCCAACUUCUGAAUGUUGACCUCGGAUCAGGUAGGAAUACCCGCUGAACUUAAGCAUAUCAAUAGCGGAGGA
rnacentral:misc_RNA from 1 species